rnacentral:rRNA from 2 species
CAGAAGUGGCUAGUCUAACCGCAAGGAGGACGGUCACCACGGUAGGAUUCAUGACUGGGGUGAAGUCGUAACAAGGUAGCCGUAUCGGAAGGUGCGGCUGGAUCACCUCCUUUC